CAGUUGGUAGAGCUACGGACUUUUAAUCCGCAGGUCCUAGGUUCGAGUCCUAGUGGGGGCACUUAAAGCGGUC
rnacentral:tRNA from 1 species